UUUUAAGUUUCAAGCCACACAGCUAAUUCAUCUAUCUCAUUUGACAGAGGAGAAAUGUUUGAUCCCAAGUUGCCCUGCUGGUUGAUAGGAGAGCCUAGAUGGAAGGCUGAUGCUGUUUUCAUCCCAUAAAUACAGCGGUUGCUAAAUCAGCAGGAUGCCUGUUAGUCCCCAUCAGCAGCUCAGCCCAGAAUCUGUCUGCUCAUUUGACCAAUUUUGGGGGAAGGCCAGAAGGAAUUUAGCUGCUCUGUAUGGGCAUAGAUGCACCCAUUAACUCCUCACAACAACCCUAUGAAUAGGUAUCAACCCCAUUUUAUAGAUGCCGACAUCAAGGCUUAGUGAAUAUUACCGAGAAUUACUUAGAAAUCUGAAUUUAGGGAAUUGCUUCCAGUGAAUUGUGACAUUAUUCCUUUCAGGAACAUGUGGUGAUACUAACUAACUCUUGGCAAAGUGUGCCAAGUACUGGUCCUGCCGGAUCCCUCUUCAAAGCAGAGAGAAGGCUUAUCUGCAAUUAGCUCAUUCAUUGUGUGCAAAUAGUACUAAUUGCUUGAAACCAGUGUGUUCUCUUAAGUAGGUUAAACAUUCCCUUCUGAAAUCUUGUUUGUACUAUUAAUUUGAGCAACAAACCUUUCCUUUCUGGAGUCAGGCACCCUCCAGCCAGGCCAGGCUGGGAGAAGGAUUACAAAUUCCCAUUCAUUUGAGUUCGGAUACGGAUGUUGAUGGACGUGUUCUUGCCAAGCUCACUCUUGUGAGGCUCUUGAAUGGAGGGUCAGCCAGAUUCCACAGUCACCUGAAUUAUUAAACAUGUGAUGCGAAGUGAAAAUGGCUUCUUUUCCACUACCAGAGAACUUGCAACUUUCUGCCAAUACUAUCUGGCCAACUGGAGGUCCUGCUGGGCUGACUUUAAUGAACAGAUAAGACUCAGUUUUAAUUAGCACAAUAAUUGUUUCCAUGCAAAUGAAUGUGGAAAAAGAACUUGCAAACAGUUUAUUUUCUUAAGUGGGUUACGGGGAGGGGGGUGGGGGGGGUGUGCACCCCAUAGGCCUGUCAAUGGUGCCCCAUUGUUUGCCGAUGGCGCCCCAUCGUUUCAUUCAUUGAGUAGCACAAAUCCAGCUCAACAAGCCUUUGUGGAGCUUGGCCCAUGUGCUGGGCUCUGUGUGAGAGUCGGGGAAGGGUGGUGAAGUGAUGUCUUCCAGGAUGCUGCUUUAGAAGUCAAAGGUCAACCCUCUAUUGGUUAGAGUUCCUGGUUGUAAGCAAGAGAAUUUAAUUCAGAGUUAAGUGAAGAGAAAGGGAAGGUGUUGGAGGAGUUGAGGGGUAGAGAUAGGCUGGCUGGGGCCUGAAAAGGGCUGGGCAGAGGAUCAAUCCGGUGAGUUCAUCACACGAACUCAUCUCUACCUGACCUUGUGUAUGUUUCUUUUCUUUUUUCUUUUUUAAAGAUUUUUUAGGGCUGCACCUGUGGCAUAUGGAAGUUUCUAGGCUAGGGCUCCAAUCGGAGCAGGCCUAUGUGACACACAUAGCAACGCCAGAUCUGAGCGGCAUCUGCAGCCUGUGCUGCAGCUUGCAGCAAUGCACAACUGGGGAUCAAACCCACAUCCUCAGGAUACUAGUCGGGUUCUUAACCUGCUGAGCUACAAUGGGAGUAGCUCAGGCUAUUAUCGCUAUCGGUGAGGAAAAACCUCUCAGGCUCAGUUCCUGGGAGCCCACAAAUCAAACUGACAAAAGCUAGAUUAACAGGAGGGAUACCCCCCAUUUAUUCAUAUGUAAAUGAAAGCUCACUAAAGAAGUAGUUGCCCAAUAGCUAAAAUGGGAAAGAGAAGAGAGAGAAGAGGCAUCUACGGGGAGGAACGAAUGGGUUUCUAGGGGAACAAACAGGAGAUAAGAAAAUUUGUGGUAAUGUUCGUUUAUGCAGGUGCAAAUGAUCUCCUCCAUCUUUUUCUUGGCCAUAAAACUCCCUCGGAGAAGGGAAUUUAUGAUAGUUUCAUUCUCCGAAGUUUUGCUUUUGGUGAGAUAAAGGAAACUACGAGAAGGCUUCUUGCUACAUCUGUUCAUCACAAAUAUCUUUUGUUUCACAUCAUCUUCAAAUUAACUCUGAGGGUCCAAGUGAGUCCCCAUACCUCUCGCCCGAACGCCUGUGACAUCCUCCUAACUGGUACCAGUUUCCUCUCUGGCUGCCACCAAUACGCUCUCCCCACAGCAUGCAGAGGCGCGCAUGUAGAAAGGAAACCAGAUGUGCCCCCCUGGUGCUUAAAACCUCUAAGACCCAGUGCCCAGAUCUUGGCUUCUAAUACCAUUUUCUAAUAAAAGCACUCCUUGGAGAAAUGGUGAAGUCUAGGACUUGGCAGGGAGAGUACAAGAUGAGCCGGGAGCAUCUUGGAGUGCCAGAGAACAAGAAAACUCUCAAAAAGAAAAGGAUGAGCGUGCAUGAAAGGGACACAGGAGUCCACCAAAAGCACUCCUAGAAGCCAAAACAGGAAUCAUUUGGGCAAGGAAAACAGCAUAGUAUUAGAAUAUAACCCGAAGUACAAAGUAAAUAUCCAUAAAUCUAUACUGACAUAAAUAGAAAAUUGAGUAAGGAAAUUAAGGGGAAAGAAAAGGCAUAGGUCCCAUACAGAGAAUUCCAAAGAAUUUAUGGAGAUGCUCCCCGGUCAAGGAGGUGGAGCAGACUUCUGGUCCAGUGUGCGCUGUACACAGUGACUCCUUCGGAAGGGCAGAAAGAGGGGAAAAGAGAAACGUUACAGCAGAGCAGCUGGGCAGAUGCUGCCACAGCAAGGUCAGCAUCAACAGGGAUCAGUCACGUGGAUGGCGUUGUCCCCUUGAGAUGAUGUGCUGAGAAUGGGGCUUUUCCUCAGCUGAGAUGAAAAUAUUGUAAUGUGAAAUACAUUACAAUAUUGUAAUACAUUAAAUGUCAUAUG
ensembl:lncRNA